rnacentral:rRNA from 1 species
CGCGGCCUAUCAGCUUGUUGGUGGGGUAACGGCUCACCAAGGCAUCGACGGUUAGCUGGUCUGAGAGGACGAUCAGCCACACUGGGACUGAGACACGGCCCAGACUCCUGCGGGAGGCAGCAGUGGGGAAUCUUGCGCAAUGGGCGAAAGCCUGACGCAGCAACACCGCGUGGGGGAUGAAGGCUCUCGGGUUGUAAACCCCUUUCAUCAGGGACGAAAUUGAUGGUACCUGAAGAAGAAGCCCCGGCCAACUACGUGCCAGCAGCCGCGGUGACACGUAGGGGGCGAGCGUUGUCCGGAAUUAUUGGGCGUAGAGAGCUCGUAGGCGGUUUAGUAAGUCAGAUGUGAAAGGUUGGGGCUCAACCCUAAGACUGCAUCCGAUACUGCUAUGACUAGAGUCCGGUAGAGGAGUGUGGAAUUCCUGGUGUAGCGGUGAAAUGCGCAGAUAUCAGGAGGAACACCGACGGCGAAGGCAGCACUCUGGGCCGGUACUGACGCUCAGGAGCGAAAGCGUGGGUAGCAAACAGGAUUAGAUACCCUGGUAGUCCACGCCGUAAACGUUGGGCACUAGGUGUGGGACCUUAUCAACGGGUUCUGUGCCGUAGCUAACGCAUUAAGUGCCCCGCCUGGGGAGUACGG